rnacentral:misc_RNA from 1 species
UUUCACAUUUAUGAGUAGCAUGCAAAGUUGCAGAGCAUUUAAUGUCAAAUAUGUAUAAUUCUUUUCCACUUCUGUAUUCAAACAAAACUAUUAUUGCAGAUCGAGAUUUGCAGAACAACAAAAGAUCAAAAAUAUGAUCAUGAUCAUAAAAAAUUUCCUUAUUUUGAAAAAAAGAAACAUUUUCAACUUUUUAAAAGUGAUUAUCAGACAUCUUGUCUCUCCCUCUCUAGUGCUCAAGGAGUUCAUGAAGGAGGCUUCAUUUCAAUUUUUAUAGCAGCAGCCAACUGAUCAUAAGCUUCUGCCCACGCAUUCUUCAUCUCAGGAGACCACAUUUCUGGCACUGCUUCUUUUAUAGUUUCAAGCAAUGCAUACUUAGUGACCUCAAAAUGUUCAUCAACAACCCCAUAUUUGAAAUGAGUUGCUCCUAAAUCUUUCAGACUGGACUCUUUCAAAGUGACCUUGCCUGCCUUCCGAAGCUGCACAGCUGAUUCGCAGGUCAUAACAAAGACGGUAACGGCAUGAGGUUUAAGCUUUGGAUUCUGCUCCAGAGGAACAUCUGAGUCGUUCAAAAAUGAGAACAGCUUCUUUGCAGAGGGUGCGAUCUCAAAGAUUUUAAUGAAGAAUUUUAGACCCAAUUCUCCACUAUUCUUCUUCAUUGAAUUCCAUGAUUUGACGACCAGAGCUUCCUGCUCUUCUGUAAAUCCACUCACUUUUAGACUUCUAUUCCUCUCCAGAUCUUGCAUAUAUGUAAAUGCCACACCAUCAGCGCAUAAAAGAAGGGGGACAGAUAAAAUAUAUAUAUAUGUAUAAUCCAAGAUUUAAGAAGAAAAUUGGGAAAAAAAAGAUGAAGUUACUUCUGAGAUAUUUUGUGCUUUUGCAUACAAGCCCGCGCAGUGAUCCAUCUCUCCUGACCCAUGAUAAGUGCAAGGAUUGCUUGUGCAAGAGUCUAGGGCCAAAAUUUUGAAUUAUGUAGUUCUCAGAGACUUGUCUUUUGCCAUACUUCUUGAUGCCUGCGGCACCAGGGAGAAGCAUGGUAGUCUCAGAACUAAGAUUAUUAGUGUUCAUAGGAAUCAGGCCUAUCAUCUGAUGAAGACUUGACAGGAUCAACAAGCAGGUAUACUUGAUCAGCUGUGCCUGAAAUAUUGACAAAUACAAAUAAGAAGUAGCUUUACUAGUUGAGCUUUAGAGGCUAUAGACAACUGGAAUAAGCUUCACCAGUUGAGUUCUAUUUGCAAAAGGGAAACUUUGACCAUGCUAGAACAAAGAGAAAUUGGAGAGAACCUUUGUAGGUGCGGUAGAGCCAACCUCAG